rnacentral:rRNA from 1 species
UACGAAGGGGGCUAGCGUUGUUCGGAAUUACUGGGCGUAAAGCGCGCGCAGGCGGUCUUCCAAGUCAGUGGUGAAAGCCUGGAGCUCAACUCCAGAAUUGCCUUUAAGACUGCCGAGCUAGCAGGUGAGAGAGGUGAGUGGAAUUCCGAGUGUAGAGGUGAAAUUCGUAGAUAUUCGGAAGAACACCAGUGGCGAAGGCGGCUCACUGGCUCAUACUGGACGCUGAGGUGCGAAAGCGUGGGGAGCAGACAGG